rnacentral:rRNA from 1 species
AUUAGAGUUUGAUCCUGGCUUAGGAUGAACGCUGGCGGCGUGCUUAACACAUGCAAGUCGAACGGUGAAGUCAGCUUGCUGGGUGGAUCAGUGGCGAACGGGUGAGUAACACGUGAGCAAUCUGCCCCUGACUCUGGGAUAAGCGCUGGAAACGGCGUCUAAUACUGGAUACGAACCGUGGAGGCAUCUUCAACGGUUGGAAAGAUUUUUUGGUCAGGGAUGAGCUCGCGGCCUAUCAGCUUGUUGGUGAGGUAAUGGCUCACCAAGGCGUCGACGGGUAGCCGGCCUGAGAGGGUGACCGGCCACACUGGGACUGAGACACGGCCCAGACUCCUACGGGAGGCAGCAGUGGGGAAUAUUGCACAAUGGGCGAAAGCCUGAUGCAGCAACGCCGCGUGAGGGAUGACGGCCUUCGGGUUGUAAACCUCUUUUAGCAGGGAAGAAGCGAAAGUGACGGUACCUGCAGAAAAAGCGCCGGCUAACUACGUGCCAGCAGCCGCGGUAAUACGUAGGGCGCAAGCGUUAUCCGGAAUUAUUGGGCGUAAAGAGCUCGUAGGCGGUUUGUCGCGUCUGCUGUGAAAUCCCGAGGCUCAACUUCGGGUCUGCAGUGGGUACGGGCAGACUAGAGUGCGGUAGGGGAGAUUGGAAUUCCUGGUGUAGCGGUGGAAUGCGCAGAUAUCAGGAGGAACACCGAUGGCGAAGGCAGAUCUCUGGGCCGUAACUGACGCUGAGGAGCGAAAGGGUGGGGAGCAAACAGGCUUAGAUACCCUGGUAGUCCACCCCGUAAACGUUGGGAACUAGUUGUGGGGUCCAUUCCACGGAUUCCGUGACGCAGCUAACGCAUUAAGUUCCCCGCCUGGGGAGUACGGCCGCAAGGCUAAAACUCAAAGGAAUUGACGGGGACCCGCACAAGCGGCGGAGCAUGCGGAUUAAUUCGAUGCAACGCGAAGAACCUUACCAAGGCUUGACAUAUACGAGAACGCUGCAGAAAUGUAG